GGGUUGUGAGGUUAAGCGACUAAGCGUACACGGUGGAUGCCCUGGCAGUCAGAGGCGAUGAAGGGCGUGCUAAUCUGCGAUAAGCGCCGGUAAGGUGAUAUGAACCGUUAUAACCGGCGAUACCCGAAUGGGGAAACCCAGUGUGACUCGUCACACUAUCAUUAACUGAAUCCAUAGGUUAAUGAGGCGAACCGGGGGAACUGAAACAUCUAAGUACCCCGAGGAAAAGAAAUCAACCGAGAUUCCCCCAGUAGCGGCGAGCGAACGGGGAGGAGCCCAGAGCCUGAAUCAGCAUGUGUGUUAGUGGAAGCGUCUGGAAAGGCGCGCGAUACAGGGUGACAGCCCCGUACACAAAAGCGCAUGUGCUGUGAGCUCGAUGAGUAGGGCGGGACACGUGGUAUCCUGUCUGAAUAUGGGGGGACCAUCCUCCAAGGCUAAAUACUCCUGACUGACCGAUAGUGAACCAGUACCGUGAGGGAAAGGCGAAAAGAACCCCGGCGAGGGGAGUGAAAAAGAACCUGAAACCGUGUACGUACAAGCAGUGGGAGCACCCUUUGGGGUGUGACUGCGUACCUUUUGUAUAAUGGGUCAGCGACUUAUAUUCUGUAGCAAGGUUAACCGAAUAGGGGAGCCGGAGGGAAACCGAGUCUUAACCGGGCGUUAAGUUGCAGGGUAUAGACCCGAAACCCGGUGAUCUAGCCAUGGGCAGGUUGAAGGUUGGGUAACACUAACUGGAGGACCGAACCGACUAAUGUUGAAAAAUUAGCGGAUGACCUGUGGCUGGGGGUGAAAGGCCAAUCAAACCGGGAGAUAGCUGGUUCUCCCCGAAAGCUAUUUAGGUAGCGCCUCGUGAAUUCAUCUCCGGGGGUAGAGCACUGUUUCGGCUAGGGGGCCAUCCCGGCUUACCAACCCGAUGCAAACUGCGAAUACCGGAGAAUGUUAUCACGGGAGACACACGGCGGGUGCUAACGUCCGUCGUGAAGAGGGAAACAACCCAGACCGCCAGCUAAGGUCCCAAAGUCAUGGUUAAGUGGGAAACGAUGUGGGAAGGCCCAGACAGCCAGGAUGUUGGCUUAGAAGCAGCCAUCAUUUAAAGAAAGCGUAAUAGCUCACUGGUCGAGUCGGCCUGCGCGGAAGAUGUAACGGGGCUAAACCAUGCACCGAAGCUGCGGCAGCGACGCUGAUGCGUUGUUGGGUAGGGGAGCGUUCUGUAAGCCUGUGAAGGUGGCCUGUGAGGGUUGCUGGAGGUAUCAGAAGUGCGAAUGCUGACAUAAGUAACGAUAAAGCGGGUGAAAAGCCCGCUCGCCGGAAGACCAAGGGUUCCUGUCCAACGUUAAUCGGGGCAGGGUGAGUCGACCCUAAGGCGAGGCCGAAAGGCGUAGUCGAUGGGAAACGGGUUAAUAUUCCCGUACUUGGUGUUACUGCGAAGGGGGGACGGAGAAGGCUAUGUUGGCCGGGCGACGGUUGUCCCGGUUUAAGCGUGUAGGUGUGUGUUCCAGGUAAAUCCGGUUCACUUUAACACUGAGGCGUGACGACGAGGCACUACGGUGCUGAAGCAACAAAUGCCCUGCUUCCGUGAAAAGCCUCUAAGCAUCAGGUAACAUCAAAUCGUACCCCAAACCGACACAGGUGGUCAGGUAGAGAAUACCAAGGCGCUUGAGAGAACUCGGGUGAAGGAACUAGGCAAAAUGGUGCCGUAACUUCGGGAGAAGGCACGCUGACAUGUAGGUGAAGUGAUUUACUCAUGGAGCUGAAGUCAGUCGAAGAUACCAGCUGGCUGCAACUGUUUAUUAAAAACACAGCACUGUGCAAACACGAAAGUGGACGUAUACGGUGUGACGCCUGCCCGGUGCCGGAAGGUUAAUUGAUGGGGUCAGCGCAAGCGAAGCUCCUGAUCGAAGCCCCGGUAAACGGCGGCCGUAACUAUAACGGUCCUAAGGUAGCGAAAUUCCUUGUCGGGUAAGUUCCGACCUGCACGAAUGGCGUAAUGAUGGCCAGGCUGUCUCCACCCGAGACUCAGUGAAAUUGAACUCGCUGUGAAGAUGCAGUGUACCCGCGGCAAGACGGAAAGACCCCGUGAACCUUUACUAUAGCUUGACACUGAACAUUGAGCCUUGAUGUGUAGGAUAGGUGGGAGGCUUUGAAGUGUGGACGCCAGUCUGCAUGGAGCCGACCUUGAAAUACCACCCUUUAAUGUUUGAUGUUCUAACGUGGACCCGUAAUCCGGGUUGCGGACAGUGUCUGGUGGGUAGUUUGACUGGGGCGGUCUCCUCCUAAAGAGUAACGGAGGAGCACGAAGGUUGGCUAAUCCUGGUCGGACAUCAGGAGGUUAGUGCAAUGGCAUAAGCCAGCUUGACUGCGAGCGUGACGGCGCGAGCAGGUGCGAAAGCAGGUCAUAGUGAUCCGGUGGUUCUGAAUGGAAGGGCCAUCGCUCAACGGAUAAAAGGUACUCCGGGGAUAACAGGCUGAUACCGCCCAAGAGUUCAUAUCGACGGCGGUGUUUGGCACCUCGAUGUCGGCUCAUCACAUCCUGGGGCUGAAGUAGGUCCCAAGGGUAUGGCUGUUCGCCAUUUAAAGUGGUACGCGAGCUGGGUUUAGAACGUCGUGAGACAGUUCGGUCCCUAUCUGCCGUGGGCGCUGGAGAACUGAGGGGGGCUGCUCCUAGUACGAGAGGACCGGAGUGGACGCAUCACUGGUGUUCGGGUUGUCAUGCCAAUGGCACUGCCCGGUAGCUAAAUGCGGAAGAGAUAAGUGCUGAAAGCAUCUAAGCACGAAACUUGCCCCGAGAUGAGUUCUCCCUGAGACUUAGAGUCUCCUGAAGGAACGUUGAAGACGACGACGUUGAUAGGCCGGGUGUGUAAGCGCAGCGAUGCGUUGAGCUAACCGGUACUAAUGAACCGUGAGGCUUAACCUUACAACGCCGAAG
rnacentral:rRNA from 1 species